AGAGGUCCUCUUUGAGCUGGUGCUGUUUGGGAUGAUGACAGCUCAGAAGUCCCUGAUGGUGCACCCUGGUGGGUUCGUGGAGCGUCUGUACGCUCUCCUGUACUCCUUCCUGCCGACAUGGAGCCAGAGGCUGACAGAUACCUGCUGCUGCUCAAUGGCGGGCUGAUGGCUCUGCUAGAUGACAUGUUUGACCAGCAGCAGAGUCUCUGGUCACUGAGCUCUCCAGCCUCCUGGAGUACCACUUGGAGAACCUCAUGGCCAGCAUGUAGUCCUACUGCAGGGACCAUACUCCUUUCUCCUUCUCUCUCUCUUUUGAAGGAAUUGAGGACUUGAAGUGCUUUGUUGAACCCUGAUUACCUAACACCCAUUAAUUUAAUGUUUUCUCUCCCCACAGGAUUCUUGUGACACUUUGCCACCCAACAGGAAUCUAGACACCAAUGCACUACAUUACU